AGAUGUGUGGGUGAUCUGGAUGUUACUUCUGCCACCCCAUUGAUUACCAGGAUUGAGUUGGCUGAUAUGGCUGGCUAAGCAAGUGUUACCUCCUCACUCACCACUCCAUGUGCUUCCCUCCCAAAGCUGCAUGCUCAAAGAGGAUGACCUUCUCCGAUAGAAGAGGACCAUUCUUCAGUCAGGGGUAUAUGAGUAGCUGCGUUAUUCCCCUUCCCCCCACUACUAGAAUCUCCAAACAAGUUCUCAAGAUGCAAAGCAAUGGGGCCAACUGAUCAUGAACUGGAAACUCUAAAAAUGUGAACUAGUUUAUAAGU
rnacentral:snRNA from 1 species